CUCUCCUCGCUCUCUCCUCUCUCCUCUCUCCUCUCUCCUCUCUCCCAUACAGUUAUGGGAGAGUCUAUGCAACAGCGGACCCAUAUCACCACACGAUUGGUCCUGCAGCCACGUACAGUGUGGGUACUAUGGCUAGCCUAUACAGAGGAGGCUGCAGUCGCUUCACUCCCUACUAGAGAGAGAGAGAGGGACAAACGCCCCCCUCCUCCCUCCUUCCGCCCCCAGAAAAAAAAAUACAUCAAACUAAACACCUCCUUCCUCUUCAAUGGAAAACUAAAAGUAGAGCAAAACAACUCCAGGUCAACAAAACACAUGACCACCUUGUCAAGACUCUCAAGUUGAUGUCUACUUUUAAGAGUUUUAUCUGACUAUAUGCAUUGUCUGUCAUCGAUGUACUGUACCGAUUUGGGAAAUGACGAUGCUCUUGUUUAUUUCCUGUAUUGAUUUGAAUGUAUUGCUCCUGGUUGAGAUUGAUGGUUUCUAGAACGUGAGAAAGAAAGUGGUGCUGGAGCGAGACAAAGAAAUAAAAAGAGAGAGAAAGAAAGUGGUGCUGGAGCGAGACAAAGAAAUAAAAAGAGAGAGAAAGAAAGAAAGAGAGAAAGAAAGAAAGAAAGAAAGAAAGAAAGAAAGAGAGAAGUUGGAUAUGAGGGAAUAGGUCUUUCUCUUUCCAAUAAAGCCACAAUAUUGUCAUUAAUUUAACACAUUUAAUGAUUAGAAAGUAUAAUCUCAUUAACAAUAGUAUUAUAAAUGGUGGACAAUAGGUUGAUAUUGUCUGUAUAACGCCUGUAUAAUGGGAAUCAUACCGAGGGAAUUUACCAACGGAAAAAAAACGAAAUGCUGCUACUCUGUAUUCCUCUGAGUUUAUGUUAUCAAACAGCGUUCCUGUGGGACGAGUCACUACUAUUAACGCUGCAAUUUGUCAUUUUCCCAAUGUACAUUAAGACCGCUAAUGUUCAGCAAUUCCCGUUGAAGCAACACAUUUCAAACUGGAUUUUAUUAAGUAAGUAAAUGAUACAGGCAUUCAAUUUGGCACCCUAUUCUCUAUGGAGUGCACUACUUUUAACCUGGGCCCGUAAGGAUCUGGGCAAAAGUAGUGCACUAUUUACGAAAUUGGGUGCCAUUUGGGACGUAGACCCAAGAGUUUAGUUUGUAGACCUGAGACUUCGUAGGCUAAUGACAUAAACAUAAACGCACUCAGCUACAAGAGGUUGAUCUGUGACAAAAUGGCUGACAGGAAGUGAUGUAUCCUAGAAUGAUGUGUAGUAGGAAGGGAGGGGGGAGAAGGAGAGCUGUGGCUGCAAUUGCUGUAGCAGUAGUGUGUCAGAGCGAGAGCAUUGAUUGUGGCACUGAGCCAAAAGCAGAAGGUAUCCCAUCUCCACAGAACGGCUUUCUACAAAAUAAGCAAUAAUACUACAACAUUAAAACAGAUUAUUAUUAUUAUUAGAUAUUUCAUUGGUCAGUUUUUCUUUUUAGAAAGAGAGUCAUUACAUACACUAUCUUCAAUUCAUAUCCAUUAUAUUAUUUUGCCGUGCCAAACUGGACUAUAUCUUUGAAAAAGUAACACUAUUCAACGAAGAGGAUGUUGGAGGCAUUUGCUGUUUUUCAAAUGGUACAUAUUUUUUUAUUUAUUUUAUUUAUUUCACCUUUAUUUAACCAGGUAGGCUAGUUGAGAACAAGUUCUCAUUUGCAACUGCGACCUGGCCAAGAUAAAGCAUAGCAGUGUGAACAGACAACACAGAGUUACACAUGGAGUAAACAAUUAACAAGUCAAUAACACAGUAGAAAAAAAAGAGUCUAUAUACAUUGUGUGCAAAAGGCAUGAGGAGGUAGACGAAUAAUUACAAUUUAGCAGAUUAACACUGGAGUGAUAAAUGAUCAGAUGGUCAUGUACAGGUAGAGAUAUUGGUGUGCAAAAGAGCAGAAAAGUAAAUAAAUAUAAACAGUAUGGGGAUGAGAUUGGAUUUAAGAGAAGAGAAAGGCUAGUGUGCUUUACUGCACAGGGAGAGGGGGAUACCUGGUCAGUUGUACCUGGUCAGUUGUACCUGGUCAGUUGUACAACUGAAAGCAUUCAUCCAAGAUGUGUCUUCUGCAUUUAACCCAACCCCUCUGAAUCAGAGACGUGCAGGAGUCAUUUAACCCCUCUGAAUCAGAGAGGUGCAGGGGUCAUUUAACCCCUCUGAAUCAGAGAGGUGCAGGGGUCAUUUAACCCCUCUGAAUCAGAGAGGUGCAGGGGUCAUUUAACCAACCCCUCUGAAUCAGAGGUUCAGGAGUCAUUUAACCCCUCUGAAUCAGAGAGGUUCAGGGGUCAUUUAGCCCCUCUGAAUCAGAGGGUUGGGGAGGGGGGGGCUGCCUUUAUUGACAUCCACGGUACCCAGAGAGAGGUUGGGGGUCAUCUGCCUUGCUCAAAGGCAGAACAGCACAUUUUUCACAUUGCUGGCUAGAGGAUUUGAACCAGUGACCUUUUGGUUACUGACCCAACACUCUUAGCCUCUAGGCCCUACAGGCUUGUAAGAUAUGAAAGAGAGAAGGGCACAUGUUGAUUAGGCCAGUGAGUUGUUACCUUACAUGGUAGUAUGUUGUGUUCCAGUCCCAGACACGGUCCCACACUGAGACCUGGGGUGUGUCCCAAAUGGCAGUAGUGUACCACUCUUGACCAGAGCCUUUUGACCCUAUAGGCUCUGGUCAGAAGUAGUGGACUAUAAAGGGAAUAUGGUGCCACUUAGGGAAACAUCCCUCAGGUGCAGAGGUGGGAGGGCGGAGAGAAGCUCUUAGAGUUGCGAUUGACAUUAGGAAGGAUGUUAGGACUCCCACAGGAGAAGAUGUUCAGUGUUACUGAGUCUUAAAGACAUAUUUCCAUCACUUUAAGAAUGUGUUCUUCUCUUUCCUUUCUCUGAGAUUGACUCUCUCUGUCUGCAUGUCAAGGUAACUCCACACACACUUCCCCCCAGGCCCUGCAGUGUCUAAAGAAGUCCAGUCACUGGUGAGAAAGAGGGAGGGAGGGAGGUAGAGAGAGAGAGGGAGAGGGAGCAGGUCAUUGUGAGAAUGGAGAGGGAGGUGAACCAAUAACCUUGUUAUGAAAUAGGAUCUCUUAGUCCAACAACCUUACAACGCUGGUUAUUCCCCUCGUCUAGGACACACACACCUGCACACUUAUACAGACAAACAGACACAUUCUCAUCCACACACACACACACGUGCGCUGUGUAAUUGGAUGGUAAGAGGGAAGUCAGUAGUGGUGGGGGGCGUCGAGGGAAGAAGACUGUGUAGAGGAUAGUAACAGAUUAGAGACAACAGAGCUCAGUCAAUAAGCACUGAUCUCAUUGGAAGAUACACCAGACUGACUACACACACACCCACACGCACAUAGAUACACACACACACACCUCCUUUGUCCAAUGCCAUGGCUGUUGUGUCCAUUACUGCAGAUUCUCCAUUGUUCCCAACUAGGAGGAGGCCAUUGGGAAAUAUGGAUUGGAUAAACUCUCUCCUCCCUCACCUCUCUCUUCAUUCACUUCCUCUACUGUUAGGGGUUAUCUCAUAACCCUCUCUCUUCAUGUCCUUGGGGGUUCUGCUAAAUGUCAAACUUAAGAACCUCAUUCACGGCUCGUACACCACUUCCUCACGCCUAGUGGUUAGAGAUUUGGGCCAGUAACCGAAAGGUUGCUGGGAUCGUAUCCCCGAGCUGACAUGGUAAAAAUGUGUCGUUCUGCCCCUGAACAAGGCAGUUAACCCACUGUUCCCU
ensembl:lncRNA